UUUAAAUGUCGUGCACUCCAUUUACAGUAAACUCCACUCCUGGGGCCUCAUGUACAAAGACUUGCGUUGAAUUCAUACUAAAACAUUGCGUACGGACAAAGCCAUAAAUGUGCGUACGCACCAAAAAAAUCUGAUGUAUGAAUCUCUGCGUACGCAGCAUUCCACAUACAUUCUCUUUGUACAUCCCAAUCAACGCGAAAUUGAGCACACAUGCACGAGCACCACACCACACCCUGUCUCCUCCCUCAAUUAAAUCAAUUUAAAUAUGGUAAUUAGUCCAAUUUGGCAAAAGAAACCUGCAAGAACAUGGCUAAAGCAAGCAAGAAACGAAAUUUCACUGAAAACGAAUUAGAGGUGCUACUAUCAGAGGUAGAAACAAGAAAAAAUAUUUUAUUUGGAAAUCUGUCCUCUGGAAUUAAUAACAAAAGAAAGAAAAAAGAGUGGGCGAGUUUGUCUGAUGCCGUCAACGCGGUGGGAUCUGAGAGUCGCACCGUAAAUAAACUGAAGAAGAAAUGGUCAGACAUAAAGGUGGAAGUUAAGCGGAGAACUGCUGCGCACCGACAAAGUGUGGGCAGAACAGGCGGUGGUACAGGGACCGAUGAACUUGCACCCUUUGAUCAGAGAGUUGCCUCUAUUGUAGGAGACACGUUAAUCUCUGGAAUCGUAUCCGCUGAUGUAGGAGACUCGGAUAUACUACAGGACUGCCAGCAAGGAACCGCAGGAACGUCCACUGGCACGCACUCAGAGUCCGCACCACCUGAGCAGCCAGAGCCCAUUCAGUCCAGCGUCUCCCGUGUCUCUAAUGUUCCCCCCAGUGCUGAAGCCCGUCCAUCUGGCCGUGUCUUGACGCAUGCUGUUCUGGAGUCACAACAACAAAUUGUUAGGGCCAUUGAAGAAAUGAACAGUCACCUUAAAAAUGUCACUGAAAAAACUCACAGAAAUAAGCCAUUCAUUAAAAGAAUUGGUCAAAAAAUGAACUUUGUGUCUGAGUACCAUUUAUAUUGUCGCAAUUACACGUUGACGGGCCUGAAUGGCUUGUUGAUUGUGCUGCACAUAUACUGGUCCUGGGUCAGGGUCAUCUGGCGGUGCCCCCACCUCACCAAGGGGUAUGCCAUGCCUGUGCGCGACAUUGUGCAGCACUCCACAGGCCAGUAUGAUGCGGCAAACCUUGUCAGGGCGGUAUAACAGCAUCCCCCGGUCCUGUCAAGGCAGCGCCACCGACAUUUCAGCUGCCCAAUCGCCCGCUCCACAACUGACCGAGUGCGGGAAUGGGCAUCAUUGUAUCUGCGCUCUCGGUCAGUUUGUGGGUUGGUGAGGGGGGUUAACAGCCACGUCUUUAGUGGAUAACCACUGUCUCCUGAUGGGCAGUAAUAAUAAUGACAGACACAAACAUUUUACUUUUAGAUAGAACCAUACAUUUAAAUGCAUAACUUACCAAGUAGCCACCCAUCGCGCACCCUGCCAGCUUGGAGUCUCAUCCCAACCAUGCUGUUUGUAAGGAUAUAUGAAUCAUGGGUUGACCCAGGCCACCUUGCCACAAUAUUUGUUAGGCGCAUUUGUGCAUCACAUAUAAUCUGCACAUUUAUUGAAUGGAAAUGUUUCCGAUUCACAUAUGCAAAUUCGUCUUCAGAUGGCGCCUUUAUAGCAAUAUGUGUGCAGUCGAUCGCUCCGAUUACAUUAGGAAAACCGGCUAUCGCUGCAAAUUGCGCUUUGAUGUUUGGCUGGUCACCUGCAUCGUAUGGGAACGUUAUAUACCUGGUAGACAAGCGGAUGAUGCCGUCCCAUACAGGUGGCAUUGCACGGCUCAAACACGACUGGCUUAUUCCUGAGCGGUCUGCCAGUUCUCUUUGGAAAGAACCGGUUGCUAGGAAACCAAGUGUAGUAAGCACCUGUAAAGGAACGGGUAAUGCGUGGCUCCUCACUGUCUCUCUUUCCAAAUUCGGACCCAACUCAGCGCAGAGCUCCAAGAGUAUAGCCCUUGGAAAUCUGAAACGGCUGAUGAGCCAGUCAUCGUCGUGGGCCAGAAAAUCACCGUGGUCCCUAAAAACUCGUUCUCUCCGGAUUUGUCCAUUGAAAAUGUCUUCUAAUAAAGCCAAAGCUGCCAUUGCUA